UACGUAGGGUGCGAGCGUUGUCCGGAAUUACUGGGCGUAAAGAGCUCGUAGGUGGUUUGUCGCGUUGUUCGUGAAAACUCACAGCUUAACUGUGGGCGUGCGGGCGAUACGGGCAGACUGGAGUACUGCAGGGGAGACUGGAAUUCCUGGUGUAGCGGUGUAAUGCGCAGAUAUCAGGAGGAACACCGAUGGCGAAGGCAGGUCACUGGGCCGCAACUGACGCUGAGGUGCGAAAGCUAGGGUAGCAAACGGG
rnacentral:rRNA from 1 species